UACGUAGGGUGCAAGCGUUAAUCGGAAUACUGGGCGUAAAGCGUGCGCAGGCGGUGAUGUAAGACAGAUGUGAAAUCCCCGGGCUCAACCUGGGAACUGCAUUUGUGACUGCAUCGCUGGAGUGCGGCAGAGGGGGAUGGAAUUCCGCGUGUAGCAGUGAAUGACGUGAUAUGCGGAGGAACAGCCGGAAUGGCCGAAGGGCAACUACCCCGUGG
rnacentral:rRNA from 1 species